rnacentral:lncRNA from 1 species
GAUUCAAGAACCCAUUAGGAAUUUCCUCACCAAACCCAAGGAAGACAUCAGGCAAGCUCUGAUGGGCAGAUCCUUUGGAGUGAGGCGACUGUGCACGAGGGAGUGAGUGAUUCCUAUCCCUCCAGUUAAUUAAUAACCAAGGAUCAUGUGACCACUUCUCUGAGGGACCUGAACAGUCAGAUGAUGCUGGCGAAUUAAAGGAAUACAAUCUCCCUAGGUGGUGAAAC